rnacentral:rRNA from 1 species
GAUGAACGCUGGCGGCGUGCCUAAUACAUGCAAGUCGAGCGAACGGACGAGAAGCUUGCUUCUCUGAUGUUAGCGGCGGACGGGUGAGUAACACGUGGAUAACCUACCUGUAAGACUGGGAUAACUUCGGGAAACCGGAGCUAAUACCGGAUGAUAUUUUGAACCGCAUGGUUCAAAAGUGAAAGACGGUCUUGCUGUCACUUAUAGAUGGAUCCGCGCUGCAUUAGCUAGUUGGUAAGGUAACGGCUUACCAAGGCAACGAUGCAUAGCCGACCUGAGAGGGUGAUCGGCCACACUGGAACUGAGACACGGUCCAGACUCCUACGGGAGGCAGCAGUAGGGAAUCGUCCGCAAUGGGCGAAAGCCUGACGGAGCAACGCCGCGUGAGUGAUGAAGGUCUUCGGAUCGUAAAACUCUGUUAUUAGGGAAGAACAUAUGUGUAAGUAACUGUGCACAUCUUGACGGUACCUAAUCAGAAAGCCACGGCUAACUACGUG